CAGUAGCCGCGGUAAUACGUAGGGUGCGAGCGUUGUCCGGAAUUACUGGGCGUAAAGCGUGCGUAGGCGGUUUGUUAAGUCUGCUGUGAAAUCCCCGGGCUCAACCUGGGAAUGGCAGUGGAUACUGGCAAGCUAGAGUGUGUCAGAGGAUGGUGGAAUUCCCGGUGUAGCGGUGAAAUGCGUAGAGAUCGGGAGGAACAUCAGUGGCGAAGGCGGCCAUCUGGGACAACACUGACGCUGAGGCACGAAAGCGUGGGGAGCAAACAGGAUUAGAUACCCCUGUAGUCCCUGUCUCUUAUAC
rnacentral:rRNA from 1 species